CUCAGUUCGGAUCGGAGUCUGCAACCCGACUCCGUGAAGCUGGAUUCGCUAGUAAUCGCGCAUCAGCCAUGGCGCGGUGAAUACGUUCCCGGGCCUUGUACACACCGCCCGUCAAGCCAUGGAAGCCGGGAGUGCCUGAAGUUCGUGACCGCAAGGAGCGACCUAGGGCAAAACCGGUGACUGGGGCUAAGUCGUAACAAGGUAAC
rnacentral:rRNA from 1 species